CUCCCUUCUUGGACAUUCGAUAAAAUUGAAAUAAUAUAAAGAGAACUAGCAUGACUCCUGCACAAGGAUGAGACACAUAAAUAAAAAAGGUCUAAACUUAAUUUUU